rnacentral:lncRNA from 1 species
CCUCCUCCCUAUGCACGAAUUAUUAUUAUUAUUACUAGCGUAAUAACCUGUGCGAUGCGACGGAUAGAUAAUUAAAGAAAAAAUAAAAAAAACCACAAUAAAAAAAGCAAUGAUGAUUGGGAUUUAUCUUGCUGAUGAACGAAAGUAACAGUGAAAAAAACAGAAAGAGGCAGGACUGGAACUGGUUCAGGGUGAAGCCCACAUUCAACCAUAAAGAAAAAGUUACCAUAUGUCAACUUAAAAAAAAAAAUGUAUAAAUAAAUAAAUAAAUAAAUAUAAAAGUAUAGAAAUAUAAAUAAUAAUAAUAAUAAUUAUUAUUAUUAUUAUUAUUAUUCUAAACGGAC